CUUCAAAACAACCUCUUGUUCAAUUUUCAUGUAUUUCUGUUUAGUCUAACGAUUUUAUCCACGAGUACCUACCAAAUAAAAAUUACUCAAAAUUAAAAUGAAGACCUAUUACACCUAGAAAAUAUUGACAUCGCUCUCAUCUCAUAAAUACACUUUACAGCAUGACCUAUUCCAAAAAAAAAUAUAAUAAUAUAGCAUCUGCACCCGUGAUAAAGUUUAUAAAAGACACUAUUAAGUACUUCAAGAUUGAGAAAUACUACACAUCUAAGGUGGUGUUGACAAAAUUAAAUUUAUUGUUCUUUCCAAAAACUAGGAGACCAAUUUAUUGUUUGUGAAAACUGAAACACUAAGUACUCCCAUUGGGGAUCAAGACUUCUCACUCAGAAAGUAUAUAGUUUAUUAAAAGCAACUAACACCGUUAAUGCUGAAAUAAUUUCUAUCAAGAAGCCAAGCUACUGGCCAACUGAACUGAAAAAAAUCCUUGAUCUACUAGACUUUUAUAUAAUUAAAUUUAUAUUAUAUUAUAUUAUAUUAUAUAUAUUAUAUAAUAUAAUAUAG